rnacentral:lncRNA from 1 species
GGAAAAAUGAGAAAUUUGAAGGGGGAGGGAUCCACACUUCCACUUGGUGGAGGAGAGAGAGAGAGAGAGAGAGAGAGAGAGAGAGAGAGAGAGAGAGAGAGAGAGAGAGAGAGAAAGAGAGAGAAAGAAAGAAAGAAAAGGAAGGAAGGAAGGAAGGAAGGAAGGAAGGAAGGAAGGAAGGAAGGAGGGAGGGAGGGAAGAAAGAAAGAGAGGAAGGAAGGAAGGAAGGAAGGAAGGAAGGAAGGAAGGAAGGAAGGAAGGAAGGAAGGAAGGAAGGAAGGAAGGAAGGAAGGAAGGAAGGAAGGAAGGAAGGAAGGAAGGAAGGAAGGAAGGGAGGGAGGGAGGGAGGGAGGGAGGGAGGAUAAUAUAUAUAUAGAUAUAUAACAGUAGGAAAGGGGU